GAGGAAAGGUUCCUUUUUUUUAGGGUACUCCUGGGAACAGAUCCAGUGGAGACGAGGUGGGGCCUGUAGCUCAG